rnacentral:tRNA from 1 species
GUAGCUCAGUCGGUAGAGCAACUGAUUCGUAAUCAGUAGGUCACCAGUUCGAUUCCGGUCAGCAGCACCA